rnacentral:rRNA from 1 species
UGGAUCCAGACUUUGAUCCUGGCUCAGGAUGAACGCUAGCUACAGGCUUAACACAUGCAAGUCGAGGGGCAGCAUGAAGUCAGCUUGCUGACUUUGAUGGCGACCGGCGCACGGGUGAGUAACGCGUAUCGAACCUGCCCUGUACUCGGGGAUAGCCUUGCGAAAGUAAGAUUAAUACCCGAUGUUGAGCGGUCAUCGCAUGGUGUCCGUUCCAAAGAUUUAUCGGUACAGGAUGGUGAUGCGUCCCAUUAGCUAGUUGGCGGGGUAACGGCCCACCAAGGCGACGAUGGGUAGGGGUUCUGAGAGGAAGGUCCCCCACAUUGGAACUGAGACACGGUCCAAACUCCUACGGGAGGCAGCAGUGAGGAAUAUUGGUCAAUGGUCGCGAGACUGAACCAGCCAAGUAGCGUGCAGGAAGACGGCCCUCCGGGUUGUAAACUGCUUUUAGUUGGGAAUAAAAGGGAGUUCGUGAACUCCGUAUUGUAUGUACCAUCAGAAAAAGGACCGGCUAAUUCCGUGCCAGCAGCCGCGGUAAUACGGAAGGUCCGGGCGUUAUCCGGAUUUAUUGGGUUUAAAGGGAGCGUAGGCGGGUUUUUAAGUCAGUUGUGAAAGUUUGCGGCUCAACCGUAAAAUUGCAGUUGAAACUGGAAGCCUUGAGUGUACACAGGGGUGCCGGAAUUCAUGGUGUAGCGGUGAAAUGCUUAGAUAUCAUGAAGAACUCCGACCGCGAAGGCAAGUGCCCGGAGUACAACUGACGCUGAGGCUCGAAAGUGCGGGUAUCAAACAGGAUUAGAUACCCUGGUAGUCCGCACAGUAAACGAUGGAUACUCGCGGUGCGUGAGUAAUUAUGCGUCGCCAAGCGAAAGCGUUAAGUAUCCCACCUGGGGAGUACGCCGGCAACGGUGCAACUCAAAUGAAUUGACGGA